rnacentral:rRNA from 1 species
CUGGCCUUGACAUGCAGAGAACUUUCCAGAGAUGGAUUGGUGCCUUCGGGAACUCUGACACAGGUGCUGCAUGGCCGUCGUCAGCUCGUGUCGUGAGAUGUUGGGUUAAGUCCCGUAACGAGCGCAACCCCUAUCCCUAGUUGCUAGCAGUUCGGCUGAGAACUCUAGGGAGACUGCCGGUGACAAACCGGAGGAAGGUGGGGAUGACGUCAGGUCAUCAUGGCCCUUACGGCCAGGGCUACACACGUGCUACAAUGGCGCGCACAGAGGGCUGCAAACCCGCGAGGGGGAGCCAAUCUCACAAAACGCGUCGUAGUCCGGAUCGCAGUCUGCAGCUCGACUGCGUGAAGUCGGAAUCGCUAGUAAUCGUGAAUCAGAAUGUCACGGUGAAUACGUUCCC